UACGGAAGGCAGCAGUGGGGAAUAUUGCACAAUGGGCGAAAGCCUGAUGCAGCUAUGCCGCGUGUAUGAAGAAGGCCUUAGGGUUGUAAAGUACUUUCAUCGGGGAGGAAAAACAAAACUAAUAAUUUUAUUUCUUGACGUUACCCGAAAAAGAAGCACCGGCUAACUCCGUGCCAGCAGCCGCGGUAAUACGGAGGGUGCUAGCGUUAAUCAGAAUUACUGGGCGUAAAGAGCACGUAGGUGGUUUUUUAAGUCAGAUGUGAAAUCCCUGGGCUUUAACCUAGGAACUGCAUUUUGAAACUGAAAUACUAGAGUAUCGUAGAGGGAGGUAGAAUUCUAGGUGUAGCGGUGAAAUGCGUAGAUAUCUGGAGGAAUACCUGUGGCGAAAGCGGCCUCCUAAACGAAUACUGACACUGAGGGUGCGAAAGCGUGGGGAGCAAACAGGGAUUAGAUACC
rnacentral:rRNA from 1 species